rnacentral:misc_RNA from 1 species
CGCACCUUGCGCCCCGUGGUAUUCCGCGGGGCACGCCUGUUUGAGUGUCACGUGAAACCUCACCCCAGUGGAUGUCAAAGUCUCGCUGGUGGUGGACUUGGACCGUGCCGGCGAAAGUCGGCUCGUCCUGAAAUGCAUUAGCCUGGUCGGAGGACCGCAUUGGCCGUGGUGUGAUAAUCUAUCUGCGCCUGUCAGUGCCUUCGCGGUGUUAAACAACCUCCUUGAUCGGCUCAUAGUCGUCUUCGGACAAUCAACCUGACAGUUUGGCCUCAAAUCAGGCGGGACUACCCGCUGAACUUAA